rnacentral:rRNA from 1 species
UGACCUGCCCGGUGAUAUAAGUUAAACGGCCGCGGUAUUUUGACCGUGCGAAGGUAGCAUAAUCAAUUGUCUUAUAAUUGAAGACUAGAAUGAAUGGUUAAACGAAAUUAAGACUGUCUCAUUUAUAUUAAUUAGAAAUUGGCUUUUAAAUGAAGAGAUUUAAAUUUAAUUAAUAGACAAGAAGACCCUAUUGAGCUUUAAGUUAUUUUAAAAGUGAUGAUUUAUUAUUAAAAAUUUAAGGUUUUAGAAAUUUUUUAGUUGGGGCGACUAAGGAACAUGAAAAGCUUCCUUUAUUUAUUAGAUUGAUAAAUUCUGAUCCAGUAUUGCUGAUUAAUAAAAAUAGUUACCAUAGGGAUAACAGCAUAAUCUUCUUGAAGAGUUCUUAUCAAAAAGGGGGGUUGUGACCUCGAUGUUGGAUUAAAAUAUCCUAAAGGUGCAAAGCUUUUAAGGUUGG